AAUCCCUCCAAAUUAUUUCCUUCUACUUUUUUGUGCCUAUUUCCUUAUUAGAGGGAUUAAAGAGCAAAAUUAAAGCAAGAUUAGAGAGCCAAACCCUAAAAUACUAAAGGGGCCAAAAUCUAACGAGCAAAAUCUUUUAUUACUCUGGAAGCAAAGAUCACAGGAUUCGUUUCUUGGCAUGGCAACAUGGAUAGACGACCGACGAUGUCGAUGCAACCAGUUGCAGCCAUGGGUGUGGAUGGGUUUUCUCUACCUGAGCAAGAAUACAAAUCUGAGCAUCCAAUUUUUAUUUAUUUAUUUUGCCUUUGCCAUUGCUGUAAUUUUAGGGAUGCGUUUGAAUUCUCGGCCUUUAUUGUCACACUUCCAGGAAAUCUUGUUGCAGUUUCAGCUGUCACUCCAUUGCUGCAUUUUGUGCUAUUAAGUAGCUAGCUGGAAAACACAAGUAGUUACUAUCACACCUGGACUUCAGCUUGCUUAUGGUGUUUGUACUUGAAGGCUUUGUCUUAAAGGUGUAAAUUUCAUUGUGUUAGUUCUUAUCCUUACAAGUGGCAAGCUAAGAUCGAUGUCGAUCAGGCUAAGGUGCAGUUCGAAACGAGGGAGGAGAUAAGGAAGAAACUAUGUGGCUUUGGGUCUCAAAUAGAUAGUGUAGUAGAAGAAUUGUGUAAUGUUAAUAUUUUGAAAUUGAAAUAUAGAAUUAUGUGUAAUUUGAAACCUGUUUUGGAAUCUAAAAUAUUUGGAUUCUUAGCUA